AACCUAUAAUAAAACUGAAACCGUCUAAAAUGAUAAUCACCUUCUUCAAUGUGCAAUUCAAUUCAUACCUUUAAGUCUUCAACCCCUCCGACUUCACUUAAAUCAGCCUUCAAUUCGGCAAACCAAGCAAAUUGGACUUCAAGUUAUUCAAUGGAGCAUGCCUUCAAUUCGAUUUCGGUAUUAAAGAAGUAAUCUCAUCACCCUGGUCUUUUUAAUCCCAUCCCCUGGUUGUUCAUGUCAUAUUUUGACUUGAACUCGAACGAAACACAGAAAUAACUGGAAUAUCUGAAGCCACCAGCUAUGGAGUCUGUGCUCUCCUUCUAUUUGCCACCGUGUUUGAUUCUUUCAUCUCAACAUCCCAACGCAGGUAACUCUAAUUUCAAUCGUUAGGGUUUUGAUUGAUGAUUUGUUGUUUUUUUCUUGCUUUUUAUAAUAGAUCUGGAUUCUGGAAACUGCUGAUUCAUGCUUACUACAAUUAGUAUUGACAGAGGUAUAAAUCGCGUUGCUUUCUCUUUCAUCUUCUCUUAUUUAGCCUGGUUCAGAUCAUUUGAGUUUGGGAUUAAAGGAGCAUGAUGAUUUUGGGGAUUUAGGGUCCGACGGACAGUUUCAAGGUAAGUCAGUUCCAGGCUUGACAUUGGUGUUUGAUAUUGUGUAAUAAAAAUGUGAUUUUGAUUUGAUUAGUUAAAUCCAAAAUAAUCAAAUUAAGUGUGGAUAUUCAAGAUCAUUAUGGUUUGAGUGCACUACUGUUAUUCAAAGACUUGAAACAAGAAGACAUACUGGUAUUUGUAUAUAUGUUGUGCAUGCUAAUGUGCUUAUAAUUAAAAAAAUAUUUUUCAACUUGUAUGUUAACCUAAACAAGUUUUGAUUCAGAACCUAAACAAAUUAAAAAAAAUAUUUUUCAACUUGUGUGUUUGUGAGUUGGCGGGUUCAACCCGGCACAAACUCAGAAAUUUUGACACGAACCUGAAAAUCGUAUUUGACACGUGAGCCGAAAAUAGUGUGCCUUCGCUGUAUAAUGAUGGUCUUUCGCCUUCGCCUACCGGGAAUGAUAAUGCUGGUCAGCUUGAUAUCGGGGCUUCGACGAAAGCGCCUUUGUUAAGGAAGUCUAGCAAGCAAGAAAAGAGAAAGAUGAGAGAUCAUGUGAUUUCGGUUAGAGAAAAUGGGGUCGUGGAGGAACAUAGUAAGUCUGCGAAUAAACAGGGGACUAAGGUGGAUUCUUCGAGACUAGAUCUGACGAAUCAAGGUGGGUCUGUGGCGGGUCUUUCUUUGUCAAAAGAAGUAAGUUCGAUGAGCAGGUCGAGUCCUCAAACAAUAACAAAUAAGCGGUGUCGCCAAGUUCGCAUUCUUCUUGCAGUUCAAGUGCUGAUUAUGUUCUUAUAUUUUUAUUAUUUAUAGGUGGUAAUUUUGACCCUUGUACUUUUCAGUUGGUUGUGAAAUGGGUCAAAUAAAAAACUGGGGGGAAGUCUCCAUCUUUCUAUCAUUCUUCUUUCAACAAAAGUUGUGACAAUAUCUUAAUCAAAAAUCAACGGGCGGGCAUAGGUAGUGCAAUAAAAGGAAAUACAAAAAAAGUUCAUCAUUGUGGCUCACUUUUCAACAGUUCCUUCUCUGUUUUCAGGGUAUCUAUUGGCAUUUUGACAAGCGUAUAUAUAUUCCACUACCAGAUAUGAGUGCUUGACAACACGUCUAGGUGGCCAGGAUGACCCAUUUGUCUGGCCUCUUUGGUGCCUUUUAUAUAGAGGUUGUUGAUGGGAAGCUAUCUCAAACUUGUUAUCUUGUGGCACUUAUUUUGACUCAAAUACUAAAUUAUAUUACAAAAUGGUAAUAACUUACAUUUUCACCGCUUCAUAUAAUCAUUUGAAUUGAUUUUGGAAGAUUCUUAUACGAGUGAGGACGUUAUUGUAAUUAUAUUACACUCGAAUCAUUUCUUCGUCUGGAUUGAUAGUGGUAUCGUGUGUUGUAUUGUUUUUG